UGGAAGGAGGCGAGGAGUUGGGCCAAGAUGGCGGCUGCCGAGGACCCUGUGGACGGCGGUGAGCUGUGGCACACCCAGCUCCCUAACCACGCCGUGUUCCUGCGGCUCCGGGAGGGACUGAAGAACCAGAGCGCCGUCGAAACUGAGAAAUCGGCUUCUUCGUCCUUGUCUUCCCCGCCGCCGUUGCUGACGAGAAACCUACUUUUCGGCCUCGGCGGAGAGAUCUUCCUGUGGGACGAGGAAGGCAGCUCCUUCUUAGUCGUUCGCCUUCGGAGCCUCAGGGGCGGCAGCGAAGAGCCCUCCCUCUCCCAGUAUCAGAGACUGCUUUGUAUAAAUCCACCCCUGUUUGAAAUCUAUCAAGUCUUGUUAAGUCCAACACAACAUCAUGUAGCACUUAUAGGACUAAAAGGACUUAUGGUAUUAGAACUACCUAAAAGAUGGGGGAAGAACUCUGAAUUUGAAGGUGGAAAAUCAAAAGUGAAUUGUAGUACCACUCCAAUUGCUGAGAGAUUUUUCACCAGUUCUACCUCUCUGACUCUAAAGCAUGCUGCCUGGUACCCAAGUGAAAUGCUGGAUCCCCACAUAGUGCUGUUAACAUCAGACAAUGUAAUAAGAAUUUAUUCUCUACAUGAGCCCCAGACACCUGCUAAGGUGAUUGUACUUUCAGAAGCAGAAGAGGAAAGUUUAAUACUUAAUAAAGGAAGGGCGUAUACCGCAUCUUUAGGAGAGACAGCAGUUGCAUUUGACUUUGGGCCUUUGGCAGCAGUUUCGAAGAAUAUAUUUGGACAAAAAGGCAAAGAUGAAGUAGUGGCAUACCCACUGUAUAUCUUAUAUGAGAACGGGGAGACUUUCCUUACAUACGUUAGUCUGUUACACAGCCCUGGGACCGUUGGAAAGCUGUUAGGUCCUUUGCCCAUGCAUCCUGCGGCUGAAGAUAACUAUGGUUAUGAUGCUUGUGCUGUACUCUGCUUACCCUGUGUCCCCAACAUCUUAGUGAUCGCUACUGAAUCGGGAGUGCUGUAUCACUGUGUCGUGUUAGAAGGGGAAGAAGAAGAUGACCAAACGUCAGAAAAGUCCUGGGAUUCCAAGGCUGACCUCAGUCCUUCUCUGUAUGUGUUUGAAUGUGUUGAGUUGGAGCUUGCUCUGAAACUCGCAUCCGGAGAGGAUGAACCCUUUGAUUCCGACUUUUCUUGUCCAAUCAAACUUCACAGAGAUCCCAAAUGUCCUUCAAGAUAUCACUGUACUCAUGAAGCUGGUGUACAUAGUGUUGGGCUAGCUUGGAUUCAUAAACUUCACAAAUUUCUUGGAUCAGAUGAAGAAGAUAAGGACAGUUUACAGGAACUUGCUACAGAACAGAAGUGCUUUGUAGAACACAUCCUGUGUACAAAGCCAUUGCCAUGCAGGCAGCCGGCUCCAAUUCGAGGAUUCUGGAUCGUCCCUGACAUCCUGGGGCCCACGAUGGUCUGCAUCACCAGCACCUACGAAUGCCUCGUAAGACCUUUAUUAUGCACAGUCCAUCCGGCUUCUCCCUCCCUGCUCUGUACCCGAGACGACGUGGAAGUGGCAGAGUCUCCUCUCCGUAUUCUGGUGGAAACUCCGGAUUCGUUUGAGAAGCACAUUAGAAGCAUUUUGCAACGUAGCGUUGCCAACCCGGCAUUUUUGAAGUCAUCUGAAAAGGAUACGGCCCCUCCUGAAGAGUGUCUUCAGCUUAUUAGCAGAGCCACACAGGUGUUCAGGGAACGGUACAUCCUUAAACAGGACCUGGCAAAGGAGGAGAUUCAGCGGAGGGUCAAAUUAUUGUGUGACCAAAAAAAGAAACAACUAGAAGAUCUCAAUUAUUGUCAAGAGGAAAGAAAAAGCCUACGGGAAAUGGCUGAGCGCUUAGCUGACAAGUAUGAGGAAGCUAAGGAGAAACAAGAAGACAUCAUGAACAGGAUGAAAAAAGUGCUGCACAGUUUUCACUCUCAGCUCCCAGUUCUCUCUGAUAGUGAGAGAGACAUGAAGAAAGAAUUACAGCUGAUUCCUGAUCAACUUCGGCAUUUGGGCAGUGCCAUCAGACAGGUGACUAUGAAAAAAGAGUAUCAACAGCGGAAGAUGGAAAAGGUACCGAGUCCUCAAAAACCCACCAUUACUCUCAGUGCCUACCAGCGGAAGUGCAUUCAGUCCGUCCUGAAGGAGGAGUAAGUACACACCUCCAAAUAGCUGUCCUUCCAAACAGCUCUUCCUUGCAGCAUGCCGAAGUUAACCCCUCUUCCAGGGGUGAACACAUAAGGGAGAUGGUGAAGCAGAUCAAUGAUAUCCGAAAUCACGUGAACUUCUGACACCACCAGGAACAGAGUCCCAACUGCAGUGAACGCAACUGGAGGCAUAAACCCAUACUGUAAAACAAACAUGUAGCAUUAUCUAACUUAUAAAGAAGCACUGUAAGCGAACGAUGGUGUGGUCAUUCAUGAUUUUUUUAUAAACGAUUACUGAAUAAAUGUAUUUUAAAACUGGAUGUGUGAUACACUUCAAGUCUAUGAUUAUACUUGGCAA